rnacentral:rRNA from 1 species
AACGAACGCUGGCGGCAGGCUUAACACAUGCAAGUCGAACGGGUGUAGCAAUACAUCAGUGGCAGACGGGUGAGUAACACGUGGGAACCUUCCUCGUUGUACGGGACAACUCAGGGAAACUUGAGCUAAUACCGUAUACGUCCGAGAGGAGAAAGAUUUAUCGCAAUGAGACGGGCCCGCGUCGGAUUAGCUAGUUGGUAGGGUAACGGCCUACCAAGGCGACGAUCCGUAGCUGAUCUGAGAGGAUGAUCAGCCACACUGGGACUGAGACACGGCCCAUACUCCUACGGGAGGCAGCAGUGGGGAAUCUUGGACAAUGGGCGCAAGCCUGAUCCAGCCAUGCCGCGUGAGUGAAGAAGGCCUUAGGGUUGUAAAGCUCUUUUGCCAGGGACGAUAAUGACGGUACCUGGAGAAUAAGCCCCGGCAAACUUCGUGCCAGCCGCCGCCAUAAUAC